AACGAACGCUGGCGGCAGGCUUCACACACGCAAGUCGAGCGCCCGCAAGGGGAGCGGCAGACGGGUGAGUAACGCGUGGGAAUCUACUCAUCUCUACGGAAUAACGCACGGAAACGUGUGCUAAUACCGUAUAACUCCUUCGGGCGAAAGAUUUAUCGGAGAUGGAUGAGCCCGCGUUGGAUUAGCUAGUUGGUGGGGUAAAGGCCUACCAAGGCGACGCUCCAUAGCUGGUCUGAGAGGAUGAUCAGCCACACUGGGACUGAGACACUGCCCAGACUCCUACGGGAGGCAGCAGUGGGGAAUAUUGGACAAUGGGCGCAAGCCUGAUCCAGCCAUGCCGCGUGAGUGAUGAAGGCCCUAGGGUUGUAAAGCUCUUUCACCGGUGAAGAUAAUGACGGUAACCGAAGAAGACGCCCCGGCUAACUUCGUGCCAGCCGCCGCCGUAAAAC
rnacentral:rRNA from 1 species